GUGUCAGCCGCCGCGGUAAGACGAACCGUGCAAACGUUGUUCGGAAUCACUGGGCUUAAAGGGCGCGUAGGCGGGGCGUCAAGUCAGGGGUGAAAUCCCCCAGCUCAACUGGGGAACUGCCUCUGAUACUGACGGUCUCGAGUAAGGUAGGGGCGUGCGGAACUGAUGGUGGAGCGGUGAAAUGUGUUGAUAUCAUCAGGAACUCCGGUGGCGAAAGCGGCACGCUGGACCUUUACUGACGCUGAGUGCGCGAAAGCCAGGGGAGCAAACGGGAUUAGAAACCCCCGUAGUCC
rnacentral:rRNA from 1 species